UACGAAGGGUGCAAGCGUUGUUCGGAAUAACUGGGCGUAAAGGGCGCGUAGGCGGGCCUGCAAGUCGAAUGUGAAAUCCCUGGGCUUAACCCGGGACGUGCAUUCGAAACUGCAAGUCUUGAAUGCUUGAGAGGGUGGUGGAAUUCCUAGUGUAGAAGUGAAAUUCGUAGAUAUUAGGAGGAACACCUGAGGCGAAGGCGGCCACCUGGCAAGACAUUGACGCUAAGGCGCGAAAGUGCGGGGAGCAAACAGGG
rnacentral:rRNA from 1 species